rnacentral:rRNA from 1 species
AGUGAACGCUGGCGGUAGGCCUAACACAUGCAAGUCGAACGGCAGCACAGAGGAGCUUGCUCCUUGGGUGGCGAGUGGCGGACGGGUGAGGAAUACAUCGGAAUCUACUCUGUCGUGGGGGAUAACGUAGGGAAACUUACGCUAAUACCGCAUACGACCUACGGGUGAAAGCAGGGGAUCUUCGGACCUUGCGCGAUUGCGUGAGCCGAUGUCGGGUUAGCUAGUUGGCGGGGUAAAGGCCCACCAAGGCGACGAUCCGUAGCUGGUCUGAGAGGAUGAUCAGCCACACUGGAACUGAGACACGGUCCAGACUCCUACGGGAGGCAGCAGUGGGGAAUAUUGGACAAUGGGCGCAAGCCUGAUCCAGCCAUACCGCGUGGGUGAAGAAGGCCUUCGGGUUGUAAAGCCCUUUUGUUGGGAAAGAAAUCCAUCUGGUUAAUACCCGGGUGGGAUGACGGUACCCAAAGAAUAAGCACCGGCUAACUUCGUGCCAGCCGCCGCCGUAA